rnacentral:snRNA from 1 species
AAAGAUCCGUUGUAGCACAUUGU